ensembl:snRNA U6 U6 spliceosomal RNA
GAUAGAGAAAAUUAGCAUGGCCCCUGCGCAAGGAUGACAUGCAAAUUCAUGAAACGUUCCAUAUUUUU